AGUUGUCUUACGGUCUGCCCACCACAGCAAGCAGGAACCUUUCAGAACCUAGGAGGACGAUGCGUGAAUGAACAAACAUAACUUACAUCUCAGCUCCGGCUGGAAUCAACUAGGGAACUUGCUGGGGUCUGACGGAGUCACCCGCACAGCUGCAUUUUGCUUGACCUUGAUAUGAACUUGGCCUCACCCAAUGGCAGUAGGCUAACCCAUAUGUGUAGAGGAGACUGGCCUCAUUUGAGUUCCAAGAAGAGAAGUUGCAAGGCUCAAAAGUUGUAUAGAAGUAAUUGCUGGUGCCACAUUUUAUUGAUCAAAAUAGACCCUGAGAGAGGCAGAAAGGAAGUGGAUCUGGAUUGGAGGGGAGAUAGGGAGGAGCUGCGAGGAGUACGAGGAGGGGGAAAAGAUUGAGUAAAGCACGGAACAAGAGACCCUGCUUCAAACAAGAUAGAGAGCAGGAACUCACCCCUGAAGUCAUCCUCUGGCCUCCAACAUGUAUGCCAUGCUUGAGGAUCAGAUGUGAGCUCUGAGCUACUUCUCCAGCAGCAUGGACCUGCCGCCAUGCUCUCAGACGUGAUGAUCAUAGACUAACCAUCUGAAACUAUAACUUUGUGUUUAUGUUGUGAGUACUGAUGUCAGUCCAGCAGAGAGAGAUCAGUGCAGAAGAGGCCAAUUACUGCCUGCGUACGAAGUUAAAAAUACUGGUGACACCUCCGCAGACUCCCUACCAGCCCGACAUUCUUAUCAGAUGUCUGCAGGGAGGCUGAGUGGCCAAUGAAGACCGGGGAUCUGUCUGUCUCUGCAUCCUCAGCACUGGGAUUGUAAGUGCCACCACACCCAACUUUCAAGUAGAUGCUAGGGAGUUACCUCAGGUCCCUACACUUUACAGGGCUAGCACUUUACCUAGCUCCCCAGCUCCUAAUCCGAAUUUAACCUCUAACGUCAUGGAAUCUUCAUGGUAUGAUUUAUGGCUUUUCAACCACAUUUUAAUUUGUAUGACUAAGUAAUGCCUGCUGGUUUAUUAUAUAAAAUACAAA